rnacentral:rRNA from 1 species
UACGUAGGGGGCAAGCGUUGUCCGGAAUCAUUGGGCGUAAAGAGCGUGUAGGCGGCCCGAUAAGUCCGCUGUGAAAGUCCAGGGCUCAACCCUGGAAUGCCGGUGGAUACUGUCGGGCUCGAAUCCGGAAGAGGUGAGUGGAAUUCCUGGUGUAGCGGUGAAAUGCGCAGAUAUCAGGAGGAACACCAAUGGGCGAAGGCAGCUCACUGGGACGGUAUUGACGCUGAGACGCGAAAGCGUGGGGAGCAAACAGG